AAGUCGUAACAAGGUUUCCGUAGGUGAACCUGCGGAAGGAUCAUUACCUUUCAUUGCAGCAGAAUUGGGAUGGUUGAGUAUCUCGCCUCUCCGUUCUGCCUGUAUUCUACCCUUGUUUGUCAUAUACUAUUAUUUCCUCGGCAGGCUUGCCUGCCGAGUGAAACCAUUUAUAACCUUUUUAAUUUUCAAUCAGCGUCUGAAAAAAAUUAAUAAUUACAACUUUCAACAACGGAUCUCUUGGUUCUG
rnacentral:misc_RNA from 1 species